rnacentral:rRNA from 1 species
AUUGAACGCUGGCGGCAGGCCUAACACAUGCAAGUCGAGCGGAUGAGAGGAGCUUGCUUCUCGAUUCAGCGGCGGACGGGUGAGUAAUGCCUAGGAAUCUGCCUGGUAGUGGGGGACAACGUUUCGAAAGGAACGCUAAUACCGCAUACGUCCUACGGGAGAAAGCAGGGGACCUUCGGGCCUUGCGCUAUCAGAUGAGCCUAGGUCGGAUUAGCUAGUUGGUGAGGUAAUGGCUCACCAAGGCGACGAUCCGUAACUGGUCUGAGAGGAUGAUCAGUCACACUGGAACUGAGACACGGUCCAGACUCCUACGGGAGGCAGCAGUGGGGAAUAUUGGACAACGGGCGAAAGCCCGAUCCAGCCAUGCCGCGUGUGUGAAGAAGGCCUUCGGAUUGUAAAGCACUUUAAGUUGGGAGGAAGGGUUGUAGAUUAAUACUCUGCAAUUUUGACGUUACCGACAGAAUAAGCACCGGCUAACUCUGUGCCAGCCGCCGCUGUAAAAC